rnacentral:rRNA from 1 species
GAUUAACGCUAGCGGAAGGCAUAAUACAUGCAAGUCGAACGGGAUAGAACUUAGCAAUAGGUUCUUGAGAGUGGCGCACGGGUGCGUAACACGUAUGCAACCUACCUUUAACUGGGGGAUAGCCUCUCGAAAGAGAGAUUAAUACCCCAUAGUAUAACUGAAGAGCAUUUUUUGGUUAUUAAAGAUUUAUCGGUUAAAGAUGGGCAUGCGGCUGAUUAGGUAGUUGGUGAGGUAAUGACUCACCAAGCCAACGAUCAGUAGGGGGUCUGAGAGGCUGUCCCCCCACACUGGUACUGAGACACGGACCAGACUCCUACGGGAGGCAGCAGUAGGGAAUAUUGGACAAUGGGGGCAACCCUGAUCCAGCCAUUCCGCGUGCAGGAAUAAGGCCCUAUGGGUCGUAAACUGCUUUUGUAUGGGAAAAAAUCAUCUUACGUGUAGGAUGUUGAUGGUACCAUGAGAAUAAGGAUCGGCUAACUUCGUGCCAGCCGCCGCCGUAACAC